GAAGAAUAAAUUAGGCGUAAUGACAGUUUUUGUAUUGAAAACCUGCCCAAAUUUCAUAUUACUCGGAUAAGACUUUACGUUCGUGAAAUCGGCCCUUAGCCACAUAGUUAUUGGUCAAAAAUUGCAUAAUCUUUUUCGACAUAAAACAACGUUGCUAAGUAACUUAUCGACAGAUUAAAGAUAGAUUAAUUACAUUAAUAUCGGCCGUAGCUCAUCUUAUUAAUAUUUGGACGAGUGGCUUCGACACUGAAUGUAGAAUAUGCCUUGUAUAAUGAUAACAAAAAAAAAUGAAUUAUGUAAUAUACUCGUAAGACUUGACAAUGUGCGAUGUAAAGAAUAAUAAAGAUAAAGAAUAGGAUCAGUGGAGAAUUGUGUCAAUUGGAUACAGAUUUAGGCACCUGUCCCACCGCCGACGAGGAAGUAACUAUAUCCAUGGAGAGAAGUUAAUAUAGGGAGCUCUCUGUUACGUUAUCCCAUACAAAUGACAGAGACAAAAACUCGCGGAGCAUUAACCAUUUUGAUUCGCCAACCGAUCACAAACUAAACUGUACUUUCAAAUUGAAUUUCGAAUAUUUUUUUGUUUGAAAACUAUUCUCGAAUUUAAUUUCGAAUGGUUUUUGAAAACAUGUUUGUGAUUGGUUGCAGAAUCAAAAUGGUUACGCCCACUGAGUUUUUGUCUAUGUCAUUUGUAUGGGUUUACGUAACAGUCAGAUCCCCUGUACUAACUUCUCUCCGUGGAUACAGCUAUCGACUAUUUUCUCGCUCAGGAAACGUACAAUCGAUGUAUGAUUUCGUGUCAAUAAAAGAGAUAAAAUUUUGAGCACAAAAUGAAAAAAAGUUGAGCACAGCGUUGGCGAGAACUUUCUCACCACCAGUAUGUCGCAGCGACAAGAGCUAUUAAAGAAAAAAACUCGCUCAGCGACACUCUUGGUUGGUAGUCAAAGCACUUGCACAGUUUGCGCAGGAAUAAAUGUAUGUUUUCUCCUCAUAAUUCACUCGCCCAUAGCCUGGCGACAAAACUAUCCCAACUACCCACUCGCUUCUCGUCGCUCGCCAACUCGUUUCUAAUUUUUAGCUAACUUGUUUCUAACUAAUCGUCGGCGGUUGGACAAGUGCCUCAGUGUACGGGGGGCUUUAUUGCCCUUUGCAUUAUCUUAUCUAACCUAAUCG